UAUAAUCAUUUAUAGUGUAACCUGGUCAGUGAAUAAUAUUUAAACACACGCUUUAAAAUGAGAGUGAUAAUGUAGCAUAAUAAUUUGACAUUUAAUUGGUGUAUUGUAUGAAUGGUUGAAUGAUUUUUUAAUUGUCUCAGAGAUAUUUUUAUAAAAAUUUGAAUAUUUAUGCAAAUAUAAAUAUAUUAAUUUAAGACGAAAAGACCCCAUAAACCUUUAUAUAUUAAUAACUAUAUUUAGCUGGGAUGGCUACUUUUUAUAAAAACAAAAGUAUAAAAACUUUUUUUCAAAUAUGAAUAUUAAAGACCGUUUCUUUUUUUAAAAGAGAAAUAAUAAUAGAUAAAAGGUACUUUGGGGGUAACAGCGUAAUUUAAAUUUAAAGAUGUUAUUUAUAUUUAAGCUUGCGA
rnacentral:rRNA from 1 species